rnacentral:rRNA from 1 species
UACGGAGGAUGCCAGCAUUAUCCGGAUUUAUUGGGCGUAAAGCGUCCGCAGGUGGUUAUGCAAGUCUGCUGUCAAAGCGCGAAGCUCAACUUCGUAAAGGCAGUGGAAACUACACGGCUAGAGUACGUUCGGGGCAGAGGGAAUUCCUGGUGUAGCGGUGAAAUGCGUAGAGAUCAGGAAGAACACCGGUGGCGAAGGCGGUGUGCUGGGUUGCAACUGACGCUGAGAUGCGAAAGUGUGGGGAGCAAACGGG